rnacentral:rRNA from 1 species
UACGUAGGGUGCAAGCGUUAAUCGGAAUUACUGGGCGUAAAGCGUGCGCAGGCGGUGAUGUAAGACAGAUGUGAAAUCCCCGGGCUUAACCUGGGAACUGCAUUUGUGACUGCAUCGCUGGAGUGCGGCAGAGGGGGAUGGAAUUCCGCGUGUAGCAGUGAAAUGCGUAGAUAUGCGGAGGAACACCGAUGGCGAAGGCAAUCCCCUGGGCCUGCACUAACGCUCAUGCACGAAAGCGUGGGGAGCAAACAGG